GUUUAAAGCUAGAAAGACAGCAAAUUUAGCACUAAGUCACAAUUUUCCAUUUUCUACUCCGUCGGGACCUUCGCUAAUUGCAUCGAUUAGCCAAACAAAAUUUGAAGAUUCCGGCAAAAACAUGUGCUACGGCGAUCAACGACUGCCGUCGAGGGAUGAUUUUACUGACCCGAACCGUAUCCGAACCCGACCCAGACCUGCGGUGGUGCAAAACCUAAGAGAGCGGCUAGCGGAGGUGAAUGAACGGCUGGAACAAGCCAGGGCUCGUAAAGCCGAGUUGACUCGGCAACUCGAGGAGAUGAAAAAGUUCGUCGGCGUCAUGGAAAUUCUCGAGAGUUACAUCGAACGCCAGUUCCGUGAAAAUCAACUUCAGCUUGCCCAACUUUACAGUUAAUGUUUAGCCUUAAUCAAAGUCUCUUGCAGAAAUCCAGAGUAAGGCGGUGUACAAUAGACCCUUGUGGUCCGGCCCUUCACUAGACCCCCCGCGUAUAGCCGAAGCUUAGUGCAUCGGGCUGCCCCUUUUACCUGUGUUACAACCACAUAUAUCUGCGUUGUUUUAUUUAUGAAAUUUCCUACUUAUAACUCCAAAGGUAAAGAUCCAAACAUGUGAUGCAGUUGUGUACGUUGGCUGGAUGUUCAAUUCUGAGACGGCUCAUGGCAUUUUCUGUUAUUAGUUUACUGUUAGCACAGCUUUCUACAUAUUUGAGAAUGUAGGCCUCUUUAGUAGCGGCCUCUUCCAUGUUUUGUAGUGCUAAGUUCUGGUUGUUUGAAAUUGCUCGAAUAAAAUGGUUCCUUUAAUGCGAUGUUGCAAGUGA